GUAGGAUCCGUAUUUGUCUCUUCUCCUAUAUCCCUCCCAUCAUACUCUACUCUGAUUAUAGUUAUUUCUAUGUUUUUUUCCUGUUUCAGAGUGAUCUUUCGAGCCUAUCCCUCCUUCCUCACUUAUUUGCUUUUUCUGUAACUCUGAUCCUGCUUUUUGCAGCUUCUAAUGCAGUUUUAAGUGCUCUGUGAUGGCACAGUUCUAGAAUUUAAUACGGAACUCUUGUGACUUCCUUAUAACUUCAGCACCUCAUCUUUCACUUCUGAUUUCACAGUGAACAUUUUCUUCAACUUCCCAGAAGGACACUGUUGCCUAUACAAGUCACCUAGUAGCUAUCAGCCACAUUCACUGGACAAUGCUGUUCCCUCGCCAAGACUGUCACCGUGCUGCACGCAAAAGGAGGUAUUUUCCUCGUGGCCACUUCUUUAGGGCUAGCCAUAUGUGGUAGGAUACUCUCUCGUGACACUGGGAAUCAGAAGUGAGCCUCAGCUCCCAGGCAGCCGCGCCAUCACUAAGGUAAACCACUGACACUCUACAGCACGCUGCGUUCCCAGUAUUUUUUGGAUACUGUGUUUUGUGUUUUCACAUCCCAUCAGGUCUAUAAAACGCCCAUUUUCGACUUAUGAUAUUUGCAAUUUAUGAUGGGUUUCUGGGAGGCAACCCCAUAAGUCGAGGAGCAUCUGUAUUUCCAACUUUCCUGUAAGUUUUUAAAUUCUGUCAAAAUAAAAAGCUAAAAAAGAAAUUAGUCCUUCAGGUAGAAAAUAAAAUGUUUUAAGCAGAUGGCUACAAUGAUGCUAGUACCAAGACUGUCAGACGUGGCUAUCACAGACUCCAAAAUAAUGCUGUGAAACUGGGAUUUGGGGGCAGCCCUGUGCAAGGUGAGCAGAGGCCCCAGCCUGCAGUCCCUGCCUCAUCAAUGUCACUGACCCCAUUCUGGUCACAAAGGACCCUCAUACUUGUCUAACAAACCAUGUUCUCUGAUGUCAUUGACUUUUGUACAUGUGGUCCUCAUUGCCUGUAAUGCCCUUCCCAGCCUCUUAGAAAGGCCUCUCUGGCAUAUCCUUCAAGCAUCACCUCCUCCCCUACCUUCAUGGCAAAUUACCUGUGGCUCCCUCCCCAGGUUCCCAUGACACCUCUAUUAGCCUGCCAGGCAAGGUCCAAAUAGUAAUGGCUUCCGUGCCUCCUGCCCAUAGCUGGGGCACAGUAACAUACUCUCAGUGAAUGAAAGGCCUCCCGUACCCCACUGGCCAUGGAAUAUGCCAGCCUUUCCUUGCCCUUGGUGGAAGACUACCUUUCAGAAGUCUAGGAGCGUGGUAGAUCACUUAAUAUUCCCUUCUUUCUUUCUUAGAAAACUAAUGUUGCUAACAAAGGUUACAGAAUCUGAAAUGGUCAAAUUUUACAUGCUUAUGUAUAAAAGAAGGAUCAUGCACAACAAAGAAGAAACACGAGAGUAGCAUGGAUUUACAAAAACAACGUCAGGAAGACUAAUGCUAUAUGAGCUGAGGCUUCCCCAAAAUAGUCAAGACAACUAAAAGGGAUUUUUUUAAAAGUUAUUUUUGGUGCGUGAAUAAGAACAAGGAAGGGAUAGGCUGGCUCUUGUGUCUCUGAAUUCCCUGGGAAGGAAAACAGUUUUGGGACCAAAAAGAGAAGAAAGGUAAAAGUAGACAGAGAAGCUAUGUGAAGCCAGCACUGGUGGGAGGAUUUUAAAAAACUCUAAAUUCCCGUUUCCCAACUAAGGGAUCCCACUGAUACAUUUCUCAACAGCUGCCAGUCAUCCUGGAGGAAACUUGCCAAAGAGAAACGGUGCCAACAGGCAAGAGAAGGGCAAGUGUCCUUCCCAAUUUUGAGUCCACUGAGCUGAGGACAGACCCAGGGACGCUUCCUGAAUGGAACUAGAGGAACCACGCGGAGUCAGGUUCCACGGAAGGCCUUCAACCAGUCAGCACCUAACCAAUCCCUCUGCUCUGUGUCAUGUGGUCAAUGGACCAGCCCAUGGGGAAAUAUACCAUGACCAACGGGUCACCAAGCUGCUGGCUUUGGGCCAAAUAAGCCACAGAUCUGUUUUA